rnacentral:rRNA from 1 species
UACCAGCACCCCGAGUGGUCGGGACGAUUAUUGGGCCUAAAGCAUCCGUAGCCGGUUUUUCAAGUCCUCCGUUAAAUCCAGCUGCUUAACAGAUGGGCUGCGGAGGAUACUAUAAGACUAGGAGGCAGGAGAGGCAAGCGGUACUCAGUGGGUAGGGGUAAAAUCCGUUGAUCCAUUGAAGACCACCAGUGGCGAAGGCGGCUUGCCAGAAUGCGCUCGACGGUGAGGGAUGAAAGCUGGGGGAGCAAACCGG